rnacentral:rRNA from 1 species
CGGGGGGCAGCAGUAGGGAAUAUUGCACAAUGGGGGAAACCCUGAUGCAGCGACGCCGCGUGAGUGAUGAAGGCCUUCGGGUCGUAAAGCUCUGUCGUAUGGGACUAACAAAAUGAAGGUACCAUGCAAGAAAGGAUCGGCUAACUUCGUGCCAGCAGCCGCGGUAAGACGAGGGAUCCUAGCGUUGUUCGGAAUUAUUGGGCGUAAAGCGGGUGUAGGCGGACUUAUAAGUCAGGUGUGAAAUCCCAGGGCUCAACCCUGGAAGUGCACUUGAUACUGCAAGUCUUGAGUGUGGUAGAGGCUAUUAGAAUUCUUGGUGUAGUGGUGAAAUACGUAGAUAUCAAGAGGAAUACCGGAGGCGAAGGCGGAUAGCUGGGCCAACACUGACGCUGAGACCCGAAAGCGUGGGGAUCAAACAGGAUUAGAUACCCGGGU